rnacentral:rRNA from 1 species
UAGGGAAUCUUCCGCAAUGGACGCAAGUCUGACGGAGCAACGCCGCGUGAGUGAAGAAGGAUUUCGGUUCGUAAAACUCUGUUGUUAGAGAAGAACAGCGCAUAGAGUAACUGUUAUGCGUGUGACGGUAUCUAACCAGAAAGCCACGGCUAACUACGUGCCAGCAGCCGCGGUAAUACGUAGGUGGCAAGCGUUGUCCGGAUUUAUUGGGCGUAAAGCGAGCGCAGGCGGUCAAUUAAGUCUGAUGUGAAAGCCCCCGGCUCAACCGGGGAGGGUCAUUGGAAACUGGUUGACUUGAGUGCAGAAGAGGAGAGUGGAAUUCCAUGUGUAGCGGUGAAAUGCGUAGAUAUAUGGAGGAACACCGGUGGCGAAAGCGGCUCUCUGGUCUGUAACAGACGCUGAGGCUCGAAAGCGUGGGGAGCGAACAGG